AUGGAGAUGGUGGAGAAGCUUUCUCUCACCACAAGACCACAUCCACAUCCUUACUACAUCCAAUGGUUCAACAACAGCGGCAAGGUUAAGGUAACACGUACUGUUCGUGUGCAUUUUAGUAUCUCUACAUAUGCUGAUUAUGUUGAUUGUGAUGUGGUACCUAUGCAAGCAUGUUCCUUAUUACUUGGUAGACCAUGGCAAUUUGAUAAAAAUUCUGUACACCAUGGUAGAAACAAUCACUAUACUCUUGUUCAUAAGGAUAAAAAUAUUACUUUGCUUCCUAUGACUCCUGAUUCCAUUUUGAAAGAUGAUAUUAAUAGAGCUAAUAAAGCACAACAGGAGAAGAAUAAGAGUGAAAAUCAGAUUGUGGCAAAAGAAUUUGAGCAACAAAUGAAGCCUAAUAAUAAAGCAUCUAGUGUGGCUUCUAAAAUUAAAUUGAAAAGUGCAUGUUUAUUUGCCACCAAAUCUGAUAUUGAUGAGCUAGAUUUCAGCAAAUCUGUUUGCUAUGCUUUUGUGUGCAAAGAGGCAUUAUUUUCAUUCGAGGACGUGCCUUCCUCUUUGCCUCCUGCUGUCACUAACAUUUUGCAGGAGUUCGCUGACGUGUUUCCACAAGACGUGCCACCGGGAUUACCGCCUAUUCGAGGGAUUGAGCAUCAGAUUGACUUAAUUCCCGGUGCUUCACUGCCAAACCGUGCACCAUACCGUACCAAUCCAGAGGAGACGAAGGAGAUUAUGCGUCAAGUACAAGAGCUUCUCGACAAAGGUUAUAUACGUGAAUCCCUUAGUCCUUGUGCCGUUCCUAUUAUUCUAGUGCCGAAAAAGGAUGGUACAGCACGUAUGUGUGUUGAUUGUAGAGGCAUUAAUAAUAUUACUAUUCGUUAUCGUCAUCCUAUUCCUAGGCUAGAUGAUAUGCUUGAUGAAUUGAGUGGCUCUACAAUAUUCUCCAAAGUUGAUUUGCGUAGUGGCUACCAUCAAAUUCGUAUGAAAUUGGGAGAUGAAUGGAAAACAGCAUUUAAAACUAAGUUUGGAUUAUAUGAGUGGUUAGUCAUGCCUUUUGGGUUAACUAAUGCACCUAGUACUUUCAUGAGAUUAAUGAACGAAGUUUUACGUGCUUUCAUUGGACGAUUUGUGGUAGUUUACUUUGAUGACAUAUUGAUUUAUAGCAGAUCUUUAGAGGAACAUUUGGAACAUUUACGUGCUGUUUUUAUUGCUCUACGUGAUGCACGUUUGUUUGGUAACCUUGGGAAGUGCACCUUUUGCACCGACCGAGUAUCUUUUCUUGGCUAUGUUGUUACUCCACAGGGAAUUGAAGUUGAUAAAGCCAAGAUUGAAGCUAUUGAGAGUUGGCCGCAGCCCAAAACGGUCACACAAGUGAGGAGUUUUCUUGGCCUCGCUGGAUUCUAUAGGCGUUUUGUGAGAGAUUUCAGCACCAUUGCUGCACCUUUCAAUGAGCUUACAAAGAAAGAUGUGCCUUUUCUUUGGGGUGCCGCACAGGAAGAAGCCUUCACGGUAUUGAAAGAUAAGUUGACACAUGCUCCUUUACUCCAACUUCCUGAUUUUAAUAAGACUUUUGAGCUUGAAUGUGAUGCUAGUGGAAUUGGAUUAGGAGGUGUGUUAUUACAAGAUGGCAAACCUGUUGCAUACUUUUCUGAAAAAUUGAGUGGGCCUUGUCUGAAUUAUUCUACUUAUGAUAAAGAAUUAUAUGCUCUUGUUCGGACUUUAGAAACAUGGCAACAUUAUUUAUGGCCCAAAGAAUUUGUUAUACAUUCUGAUCAUGAAUCUUUGAAACAUAUUAAAAGUCAAGCUAAACUGAAUCGUAGACAUGCUAAAUGGGUUGAAUUCAUUGAGACUUUCCCUUAUGUCAUUAAACACAAGAAGGGAAAAGAAAAUGUUAUUGCUGAUGCAUUGUCUCGUCGCUAUACUAUGCUUUCACAACUUGACUUCAAAAUAUUUGGUUUGGAGACCAUCAAAGAUCAAUAUGUGCAUGAUGCUGAUUUUAAAGAUGUAAUGCAGAAUUGUAAAGAAGGAAGAAUGUGGAACAAGUUUGUCGUUAACGAUGGAUUUGUGUUUUGUGCUAACAAGCUAUGCAUUCCAGCUAGCUCCGUUCGUCUUUUGUUGUUGCAGGAGGCGCAUGGAGGAGGAUUAAUGGGACACUUUGGCGUGAAGAAGACGGAGGACGUACUUGCUACACAUUUCUUUUGGCCAAAGAUGAGACGGGAUGUUGAGCGUUUUAUUGCUCGAUGCACUACAUGUCAAAAAGCUAAGUCACGACUCAAUCCUCAUGGUUUAUAUAUGCCUUUGCCUGUACCUAGUGUUCCUUGGGAGGAUAUAUCUAUGGACUUUGUUUUAGGUUUACCUCGAACAAAGAAGGGGAGGGAUAGCAUAUUUGUUGUCGUGGAUAGAUUCUCGAAAAUGGCACACUUUAUACCAUGUCAUAAAAGCGAUGAUGCUGUUAAUGUUGCUGAUUUGUUCUUUCGUGAAAUUAUUCGCUUGCAUGGUGUGCCAAAUACUAAAUUUCUUAGCCACUUUUGGAGAUGUUUAUGGGCUAAGUUGGGGACUAAACUGCUUUUUAGUACUACUUGUCACCCCCAAACCGAUGGACAAACUGAAGUAGUCAAUAGAACGUUGUCUACUGUGCUUAGGGCUGUUUUGAAGAAUAAUAAGAAAAUGUGGGAGGAAUGCUUGCCUCAUAUUGAAUUUGCUUAUAAUCGUUCAUUGCAUUCUACUACUAAGAUGUGCCCUUUUGAAGUUGUGUAUGGUUUCCUACCUCGUGCACCUAUUGAUUUGUUGCCUCUUCCAUCUUCGGAGAAGGUUAAUUUUGAUGCUAAACAACGUGCUGAAUUGAUUUUAAAAAUGCAUGAGUUAACUAAGGAAAACAUUGAGCGGAUGAAUGCUAAAUAUAAACUUGCUGGAGAUAAGGGUAGAAAACAUGUUGUGUUUGCACCUGGAGAUCUUGUUUGGUUACAUUUGCGUAAGGAUAGAUUUCCUGAUUUGCGCAAAUCAAAGCUAAUGCCACGUGCUGAUGGUCCCUUUAAGGUGUUAGAGAAAUUAAAUGAUAAUGCAUAUAAACUUGAGCUGCCUGCAGAUUUUGGGGUUAGUCCCACUUUUAACAUUGCAGAUUUGAAGCCUUAUUUGGGUGAGGAAGAUGAACUUUCGUCGAGGACGACUUCAUUUCAAGAAGGGGAGGAUGAUGAGGACAUUAAUACAAUUGAAACAGACCCUCGUGGUCAGGUUGAUCGUGCUCCGGAAUAG
rnacentral:rRNA from 1 species